ACUCCCGCCGUGGGUCCCCCUGAAUAAGCGGCUGAAAUCUCCUGAGGGGCCCACCUUGGCAUGGACCUGCCAGCUUCCGGAGCCUUCCGCCUCCACCUGUCCCCUCCUACAGAGGCCAGCACUGUGACACGUGGUCUUAUGUGCUGAUACCAGCAGCCCAGCCCGGGCAGUUCACUGUGGACCAUGGUGUGGGCAGGAGCUGGUUGCUGCCUCCCGGGACGCUGGACCAGUUCAUCUGCCUGGGCAGAGCUCAGGGCCUCUCGGAUGACAACAUUGUCUUCCCAGAUGUGACCGGAGGUGCCCUGGACCUUAGCAGCCUGCCCUGGGUGGCAGCCCCAGCCUUACUACUCAGAGAGCCCCGGCCCCCAAGGCCUGACUCUUCUUGUGGGAGGGCGAGGCUGGUCACCCCAGGCCAGUGUCUGUUGAAGGAUGAAGCAGCUCCUGUCCGGCCCAGCCCUGCCUCACAGCUGCGCGAGCUCUGCCCUCCUCAGCUCUCAAACCUGAAUAAAUGCACCAAGCCCAGA
rnacentral:sRNA from 1 species